rnacentral:rRNA from 1 species
AUUGAACGCUGGCGGCAGGCCUAACACAUGCAAGUCGAACGGCAGCACAGAAGAGCUUGCUCUUUGGGUGGCGAGUGGCGGUCGGGUGAGUAAUGUCUGGGAAACUGCCCGAUGGAGGGGGAUAACUACUGGAAACGGUAGCUAAUACCGCAUAACGUCGCAAGACCAAAGUGGGGGACCUUCGGGCCUCACACCAUCGGAUGUCCCCAGAUGGGAUUAGCUAGUAGGUGGGGUAAUGGCUCACCUAGGCGACGAUCCCUAGCUGGUCUGAGAGGAUAACCAGCCACACUGGAACUGAGACACGGUCCAGACUCCUACGGGAGGCAGCAGUGGGGAAUAUUGCACAAUGGGCGCAAGCCUGAUGCAGCCAUGCCGCGUGUAUGAAGAAGGCCUUCGGGUUGUAAAGUACUUUCAGCGGGGAGGAAGGCGGUGAGGUUAAUAACCUUGCCGAUUGACGUUACCCGCAGAAGAAGCACCGGCUAACUCCGUGCCAGCCGCCGCGGUAA